AAUGAACGCUGGCGGCGUGCGUAACACAUGCAAGUCGAACGAGAAAUUCCGGGCUUGCUCGGGAGAGUAAAGUGGCGAACGGGUGAGUAACGCGUGGGUAACCUGCCCCUGAAUCUGGAAUAACUUCGCGAAAGCGAGGCUAAUACCGGAUAUUGUCACAGAGACCGUGGUCCUUGUGAUGAAAGAUGACCUCUUCACGAAAGUUGUCGUUCAGGGAGGGGCCCGCGUACCAUUAGCUAGUUGGUAGGGUAACGGCCUACCAAGGCAAUGAUGGUUAGCUGGUCUGAGAGGAUGACCAGCCACACUGGAACUGAAACACGGGCCAGACUCCUACGGGAGGCAGCAGUAAGGAAUAUUGGUCAAUGGGCGGAAGCCUGAACCAGCCAUGCCGCGUGCAGGAAGACGGCCCUACGGGUUGUAAACUGCUUUUGUACGGGAAUAAACCUUGAUACGUGUAUCAAGCUGAAUGUACCGUAAGAAUAAGGAUCGGCUAACUCCGUGCCAGCAGCCGCCGUAAGAC
rnacentral:rRNA from 1 species